rnacentral:lncRNA from 1 species
AACCAACAAUUCAUCCAACUAAAUUACAAUUUUUUCAGAAGAUGUUACAUUCAAACAAGGAGGCGGUGAAUAUAGGGGAAAAAAGAAAAGGAAAGUCAUCUUCAAGUGUUGUUUAUCGCUGCCUUCGUCAUCUACCAGAAGGAGACGCUAGAAGGAUAGCAGCAAUGCCCAAGUCUCAGCAAGAUCAAGUAUUGGAAUUCAUGGAAGAAUUUUGAGUGGGACUUGAUC